AUGAGAACACUACAGUAAACUUGGAAAGUUGAAAACAUAGAUAAUAGUGAUUGGGAAAGUGUGUGCAUGGGAUCAAAAUUUAGUUAUGUAGUACAGGUUUUGAAAAUUAUAUGGUAAUGAGUGCUAAGGUCAGGUGGGGGAAAACAUCUUUGGAAGUAAGGAAGGCAAAGUAUUUGAAGGACAGAGUGUUGAAUAAUCACUCCCAUGGAUAUCCAUUGAGAAAUCACUGAGAACAAAAAGAGAAUAAGUAGCAAAGACGCCAGCGAGCCAGUGCUGGGAUCAUCUAUGAAUGAGGGGUCAGGUUCCGAAAAGGCCUGAAAUUGGAUGAAGGACUCUAACAGCAAAGAUAGUGAGUCUAUUGUCUGUUGCCUUACUUUUCAAAGGCGUUGAGCUUUUAAAGGGAGACAAGAGCCAAAAUUGUCUAGAAGUGCCAGUGAGAAACUAAGAGAGCACCCGUACCUGCUCCAGGCUCUGUGAAUAUUGGGAUGUGAGUAAAAGCCCAGCCCCAACUUGAAAAUAUGGCAGGGACAGCCAGCAAUUAAUUACAGCAAAAAGGUACAGGGGCUGUCCGGGGAAGAGAUGAAGUUAAAGAGGAUUUUGCUUUGAGACCAGACUGCACAACAUAGUGAGGCCCUGUGUCUAAAAAUUAAAAAUAAUUAGCUGUGUGUGGUGGCAUGCACCUGUAGUCCCAGCUACUAGGGAGGCUGAGAUGGGAGGAUCCCUUGAGCACAGGAAUUUGAGGCUGCAAAGAGUUAUGAUUGGGCCACCACACUCUAGCCUGGGUAACAGCAAGACCCCACCUCUUAGAAAACAAAAGUUUAAAGGAGGAUUUUGCUAAAUAACAGUGGGCAUAUUGGAAAGGGUUAGGGAGUUGGGAUGGGGAAUGGACUGAGUGAGAGUAGAGGAGGGACAUAGACAUAUAGAUAUUAGAAUCUGAAUGAAAGCAAAUGUAUUGGAAAGUUUGAAAUUUUGGUAAAGACUUAAAUAAAUAGGGAUGAAAAUCAUGGUGGGUUUUUUUUUUUUUCCAGAUCAUCUCUUAGAAAGUGGUGAGUUUCUGGUUUUAAUUAUAGCCUCUUUCUGGAAUUGCCUCAGCUGGGCCUUGUCAGCUACAGCCACACUGUACAGUCAGGCACUCAGUCGGGAGCUCUGGUGGCCUAGUUUGGUCUAGGAAGAUAGAAUCCAGAUAGGCCUCCUCUGUGGAUGGUGGUGGCCUGUCAAGGCAGGGGAACAUGUCUUCCAGUUUACAAAAUAUUACAAAUAUUUUAGAUAUUAAAUUUUCAAGUUAGAAUUGUCCUAGUGUUGGAAACCCUGAAAACGUAACUGAAUUCUUUCAGCCACUCUGAUAGGAGACAGAGUCAAGUAAGCUUAGGGCAAUAGAGUUUGAUUAUUUCAUUUCAUAGGCAUGUGUGUACACACACACUCAUUUCCCAUCAGCUUAUUGUAAACAUCACGGUCAUGCAUGCUUCCUCUUCCAUCCACUUCUUUUAUUCAAGGCCUAGUUUUAAGCAGCAUGUUACACCCAGACAAGACUCAGUAAAUAUAAAUUACAUUAGUUAUAUGAGUUCAGUCAUUACUUUCAUAAAUAUUUAGUUGAUACUUAAACAUUUAGAAAAAUGUACAUGUUUACUGUUAGAAGUUCAGGAAAAACAAGAGUUUCCUUCAAGCCUUACUUUGACUCUGGAAAAUGAAUAUAACAAGUGGAGGGGGUGGCUUUGACACCUCACACAUCCAUUUCAAAAAGAAUGGCUCAAUAGUCAAACCAUUUGACAAAGAGCUGCCAAUUCCUAUUUGACCAUAUGGGUUUUCUGAUAGUAGAAUUAUGGUCAAGUAAACUAUUGGCACACUCUUAAGCUCAAAGUCCAUGAUUUUAAAGAGUCUUUACAAAAAGCCACUGAAGUGAAUUCCUAUUUAGAUAAUUCUAUUGAGUUUCCGAAAUAGCUGUUCUUAAAGGUGGAAAUUAUCCAGGCGCAGAAGGCUGACAAUGUCUUGUGUCAUCCAAAUGACAACUCUUAGAAAUCAAAGAUAGGAGGACCAAGAGACCUAGAGCCCCUGCUUUUAAUAUGAACUCAGUAUAAAAGUCUUUUUAUUUCAGUUUGGUUUCAUUCAGUUUUUUCUUAUAGCAAUAUUCUAAAAUUAAUUUUGAUUUCAUCUUUUUUGUAAGACUUUACCUUGAUGUAAUUAGAGUUUGUUUCAGUGUUCUUUUAUAAUUCUAGAUAUAUUCCCAGUAGUGUUACCUUAUUGAGGCAUUUUUUCCAUGCCCUAUUGUAAAAAAAUAAUAAAAAUAAAAGACUUUCUUCUUCUCAUCUUUUAAUCUCUCUCUUCUAUUUUAUUUUUUAUUUUUUAUUUUUUUUUAGUGUUUUUUGAGAUAGGGUCCUGCUGUGUCACCCAGGCUGGAGUGCAGCGGCAUAAUCAUGGCUCAUUGCAGCCACAACCUCCCAGGCUCAAGUCAUCCUCCUGCUUCAGCCUCCCAAGUACCUGGGACUACAGACAUCCUGUUAUUUGAUCUUCACAUUCACGCUGAAGGCUUGGAAACAGAUGCUGUAUGCUCACAUAUGCUCAAAGAAAAAAGAAAAAGAAAAAGAAAAGUCAAUAAAUUGAGAGGGAGA